CCAUUUUCCGACAGCCAUCCCUGAUACAUGAGUUUGAUCAGUAAGAUAGGUCUCCCUGUCCAUCCGCUCUACAGUCUAUCUGAAAACAGAAUUUCUGGUAUCCCGUUCCCUCCGUAUACAGUCAGCAGAACAUACUCCACAAGGAGGCAGGCCUCUCUGCACAUUCAGAGGCAUGCAGCAGGAUUUCAGUGUUGACUAAACUAGGCGGAACCGGUGAAGCUACUGAUUCAUGUGCUCCCAGGAACGGCUUACACAACCAAACACUGCAAUCGAAAAAAAGGCUUAAAGAAGAAAUUAAAGCUGCCAGGAAAGACAGGAGAUGAGUCACGUCUCCUAUCAUGCAGGACAUGACAGAGGGAGGGGGAGCGAUCCAAAAUAGACUGGAAGGUCCCAUGAGCCCUACCAGAAGGGGCGUGACUUCGCCACUAUUGAGGAGAUUAUUGAUACGCUCCGAAGUUUGGCCGAUGAUGUGGAGAACAAUCGUGCUGAAGACACAGAUGCAGUUGAUAGAGGGCGUGUUCUGGGAGAUAGGAUAGACGACUUAUCCUCACUGAAGGGAAAUUCAAAUUGAGCGGAAGUACUUAGGCGGGCGGAGCCAGGCUACUUCCAUACAACAACACAGCAAGAUGACGGAGUUGGAUAAUGGUUGCCCUGUUUGGUAUCUUUUUAUGUCCAUGGGCUGUUUCCCAAUGUCAAGGAAGCAUGCUCAACGGCCGCCCUUUUAAGGACGCUACGUCAUAGAACGCCGACAAGCACUGUUCCAAUGUUGAGGACACUCGAAAUACGCCCCCUUUUCGGGUCCUUCGUUUUUGAGAAUUCCGAGAUUUUUCAAGGAUGCAUCGCUGCAUCCUAGACGAGCCAAAACUACCCACAAUCCUCUGCGUUCACUGGGCGGGUUCUUGAAAAUGGCAGAGCAGUACACGUUCAGAUGAAGUGAAGUUAUAUUAGUUUUCAGAAAUAUUUUGUGCCGUAUUGCUUUUUAUAGAUUCAUCAUGUUAAUGCAAAUAAUCAAGCCUAAAGACCUGUGCCACUUUUCAAACGUUUUUGCAACUUAAUGAUACGUUGCUAUAUUUUGCAUGGACGUAGCUGGU
rnacentral:lncRNA from 1 species